UGCGUAGGCGGCAUGGCAAGUUGAUUGUGAAAGCCCAGGGCUUAACCUUGGAACUGCAACCAAAACUGUCAAGCUGGAGUAUGGUAUGCGAUAGCAGAAUUUCUAGUGUAGGGGUGAAAUCCGUAGAUAUUAGAAGGAAUACCGGCGGCGAAGGCGGCUAUCUAGACCAUUACUGACGCUAAGGCACGAAGGCGUGGGGAGCGAACAGGAUUAGAUACCCUGGUAGUCC
rnacentral:rRNA from 1 species